rnacentral:ncRNA from 10 species
UUCGUUCAUCAGAGAAGACCCUGACGGAAGUAGGUAAUGACACCGAAGGAACGCAUC